UGGUGGUGGAACGCGAUAGAGUUUGGCCGAUGGUGCAGUCAACGUCGGGACCGGCAUCUAAAAAGACGCACGCGGCUCCUCUCGUUUCCUGUGCACGCCGAAACGUUUCUUUCGACUAAUUAAAUUUUUCAAUAUCAACGAUGGACGCUUUAAUUGUGAAAAGAUACGAAAUUUAAAGGAAGAUUUAAAAAAGAAAAAAAAGGGAGGGAAAAGGAAGAAAAAGAAAAAAUAUAUAUGUAUAUAUAUAUACAUGUUAAACUAUAAACGUUCGUUCGUAAAGAAAAGCGAAAGAAAGUGUUGACUUUCUCCAUUAAGCGUAAAAAACUUUUAUCAAAGUGGACGUUCGUCUUAUGGAGCGAAGUGAAAAUUGAAAAACAAGAAAAAAGAGAAGAAGAUAGAAGGAAGAAAGGAAGAAAGGAAG